AGCUGACUCAGUUGUGUUUUCUGGUUUUGGGGAAUAUCUUUAAUCACCACAUGAAUGUUUAUAAACUGUUGGGGCUAAACAUGAAACUCACUCUUCAGGUGCCGUCUCCACCUAGCCACCGUGUACAUUUUCUUUCUCUCUCUUGCAGCUGUUCUCUUCCUACGGACUGAAUGAAAAAUAAAAGGAAGUCAUUUCUGCAUGUGUCACAGAGGCAUCCUUUGGUUCUAAAGGAAGCUAAGUUGGAUUCCACAAGCCCAUGGUCCUUAUAGCAUGUGAAUAGGAUUCAGUCACGGACGAGAAGGAAGAGGUUCAGGAGAGACUGUAAUCGCCCUGUCCAGGCUAACCCUCCAGCUGUGCAGGAGUAUCAAGUCCAAAAAGAAGCUCUUCAAACCAUCUGGGAAGAGAAAACAGCAUGACAAGGAAAGGUGUAUUUGUCUGAUUCUAGGAAUCAAUAUAAACAUCCAUGAUAACCCCAUCUAAUUUUUAAAUGUAUGAUUUGGAUGAAACAAGAGAAGACACUGAUUGUUGCUGAGUCCCUGCUGUAGUCCUGACACAGCUGGAGAUGCCCUGCUCUCCUUAUUUUCUUGAUGCUCAUGAGGACCCUGAUGUCUAAGGAAGAAGGUUCUCGUCCAGGUCUGCCCCUGGUGUGUCACGUGCCAGCCUUGUCAAUGCACACGAGAACCUGACAGGUUUUAUGAUUUUAGAACAUAAGUUUUAUGAUUGUUAGUGCUGGGCAACAAAAAGGAGUCCAGAGGAACGGGAGAAAAAACAACAAUAGCAAUGAUGUGAAUGCAAAACAUGAACCAGACUAAGCAGAGCAGAGGGCGGUGUGGAGCGGGAAGCAGAGACAGAAGCUUGUGAUGUUUCAGUGAUUGCUGGGAGUUAUUCAUCACCGGCUGGUCUCCUGCUUGGGUGUGCCCCAAGUCACCCACCCAGAAGUCAAAGGUCGAGCAUGCUUUCCAUGAAGUCUGGAGGUACAGAGCAAGGCAGACAGCCACGGGCGUGUCAGGAGGGCAGCGGGAAAUGCUCAUCCCCUUCUCCAAGAAGAGGGAAUCCCACCAUCCACAGGUUCUUCCUGCUCUGUCUCAAAGGCGGAGGCAGCUAGAAUACUCUGUCAAAAAGCAACCACAGGAAGAACAUAAUGUCAAUGCAUGGCUUUAUGUUAACAUAAUUACAUUUAUUCCAGACAAAGGUUUUUUGUAAAUUAAAGAUAGAUUAUGUUGCAACUUUUAUACUCCUCUGCCUAAUUUAGUGAGUAUUUGAUAUAUUCAGAUUUAUUUUAACCAAUUAGUUUUUUUUAAUAGAGGCAGGGUCUCAGUCU
rnacentral:lncRNA from 1 species